rnacentral:snRNA from 1 species
CCCCUUUCUUGGCAGGGGAGAUGCGAUGAUCACGAAGGUGGUUUUCCCGGGGCGAGGCUUAUCCAUUGCACUCCGGACGUGUUGACCCCUGUGAUUUCCCCAAACGUGUGAAACUCAACUGCAUAAUUUGUGGUAGUUGGGGAAUGCAUUCAUGCUUUCCCUGU